rnacentral:rRNA from 1 species
CCUUAACGGGUGUUGUGAUGGGUAGGGGAGCGUCGUGUGCCGGGUGAAGCAGCCGUGGAAGCGAGUUGUGGACGGUUCACGAGUGAGAAUGCAGGCAUGAGUAGCGAUACAAGAGUGGGAAACUCUUGCGCCGAUUGACUAAGGGUUCCUGGGUCAAGCUGAUCUGCCCAGGGUAAGUCGGGACCUAAGGCGAGGCCGACAGGCGUAGUCGAUGGACAACCGGUUGAUAUUCCGGUACCCGCUUUGAAGCGCCCAGUACUGAAUCAGGCGAUGCUAAGUCCGUGAAGCCGCCCUGAUCUCUUCGGAGUUGAGGGGAGUGGUGGAGCCGACGGACCAGACUUGUAGUAGGUAAGCGAUGGGGUGACGCAGGAAGGUAGUCCAGCCCGGGCGGUGGUUGUCCCGGGGUAAGGGUGUAGGCCGUGUGGUAGGUAAAUCCGUCACACGUUGAGGCUGAGACCUGAUGCCGAGCCGAUUGUGGUGAAGUGGAUGAUCCUAUGCUGUCGAGAAAAGCCUCUAGUGAGUUUCAUGGCGGCCCGUACCCUAAACCGACUCAGGUGGUCAGGUAGAGAAUACCGAGGCGUUCGGGUGAACUAUGGUUAAGGAACUCGGCAAAAUGCCCCCGUAACUUCGGGAGAAGGGGGGCCAUUUCUGGUGAUGACAUUUACUGUCUGAGCUGGGGGUGGCCGCAGAGACCAGCGAGAAGCGACUGUUUACUAAAAACACAGGUCCGUGCGAAGCCGUAAGGCGAUGUAUACGGACUGACGCCUGCCCGGUGCUGGAACGUUAAGGGGACCGGUUAGUCGACCUUCGGGUUGGCGAAGCUGAGAACUUAAGCGCCAGUAAACGGCGGUGGUAACUAUAACCAUCCUAAGGUAGCGAAAUUCCUUGUCGGGUAAGUUCCGACCUGCACGAAUGGCGUAACGACUUCUCGACUGUCUCAACCAUAGGCCCGGUGAAAUUGCAUUACGAGUAAAGAUGCUCGUUUCGCGCAGCAGGACGGAAAGACCCCGGGACCUUUACUAUAGCUUGAUAUUGGUGUUCGGUUCGGCUUGUGUAGGAUAGGUGGGAGACUGUGAAGCGCCAACGCCAGUUGGUGUGGAGUCGUUGUUGAAAUACCACUCUGGUCGUGCUGGAUGUCUAACCUGGGUCCGUGAUCCGGAUCAGGGACAGUGUCUGGUGGGUAGUUUAACUGGGGCGGUUGCCUCCUAAAGGGUAACGGAGGCGCCCAAAGGUUCCCUCAGCCUGGUUGGCAAUCAGGUGUUGAGUGUAAGUGCACAAGGGAGCUUGACUGUGAGACUGACGGGUCGAGCAGGUACGAAAGUAGGGACUAGUGAUCCGGCGGUGGCUUGUGGAAGCGCCGUCGCUCAACGGAUAAAAGGUACCCCGGGGAUAACAGGCUGAUCUUCCCCAAGAGUCCAUAUCGACGGGAUGGUUUGGCACCUCGAUGUCGGCUCGUCGCAUCCUGGGGCUGGAGUCGGUCCCAAGGGUUGGGCUGUUCGCCCAUUAAAGCGGUACGCGAGCUGGGUUUAGAACGUCGUGAGACAGUUCGGUCCCUAUCCGCUGUGCGCGUAGGAGUCUUGAGAAGGGCUGUCCCUAGUACGAGAGGACCGGGACGGACGAACCUCUGGUGUGCCAGUUGUUCUGCCAAGGGCAUGGCUGGUUGGCUACGUUCGGAAAGGAUAACCGCUGAAAGCAUCUAAGCGGGAAGCCUGCUUCGAGAUGAGGGCUCCCUCCCACUUGAUGGGGUAAGGCUCCCAGUAGACGACUGGGUUGAUAGGCCAGAUAUGGAAGACCGGUAACGGUUGGAGUUGACUGGUACUAAUAGGCCGAGGGCUUGUCCUC